rnacentral:lncRNA from 1 species
UUCAGAGUUUGAUAAUUGUUGAAUUUUCUUUUCCUUAUUUUUUUGUGUUUGAGAUUUGUUUUAAUUUCUCAUUUUUGUUCUUUUUUAAUUUCCAUGAGUUUGGACUUACUGCAGAAUAAAUUAACUCCUAAGUUUUAUUAAUUGAAAGAUAGAGACGCAAAACAUUGACAGAAUAUAAUUCAUAUAUAUAUAUAUUAUAUAUGCCUGCCUUGG